rnacentral:tmRNA from 1 species
AAAUUUGCAUUUUAAUGGAUACAGUGAUACAAUAUUUUCGCUGUUCUAUGGAUAGCUAUGAUGAUAAACAUCGUGACCAAUAGAUGAUGUGGACCCGGGGGCAGAGCCCGGCACCUCCACC